ACGCUGGCGGCGCGCCUAACACAUGCAAGUCGAGCGUGAACGGCCUUCGGGCUUAGUAGAGCGGCGGACGGGUGAGUAACGCGUAAUUAAUCUGCCAUUCAGUGAAGGAUACCUGCGAGAAAUCGCAGUUAAUCCUGCAUACGUCCCCACAGCGAGAGCUGUAGGGAAAAAGGUGGCCUCUUGCUGCCGCUGAAUGAUGAGAUUGCGUGCUAUUAGCUAGUUGGUGGAGUAAAAGCCUACCAAGGCAAAGAUGGCUAGCCGGCCUGAGAGGGUGAUCGGCCACACUGGAACUGAGACACGGUCCAGACUCCUACGGGAGGCAGCAGUGGGGAAUAUUGCGCAAUGGGCGAAAGCCUGACGCAGCGACGCCGCGUGAAGGAUGAAGGCCUUCGGGUCGUAAACUUCUGUUAGGAGGAAAGAAACGCACAGAAUUAAUACCUCUGUGUAAUGACGGUACCUCCAGAGAAAGCACUGGCUAACUUCGUGCCAGCAGCCGCUGUAAUACGAUGGUGCGAGCGUUAUUCGGAAUCAUUGGGCGUAAAGGGUGCGCAGGCGGCAUAGUAAGUCAGCUGUCUAAAUCUCCGGCCUAACCGGAGAACGGCGGCAGAUACUGCAAUGCUAGAGGAUGGAAGAGAGAGGUGGAAAUUCUCGGAGUAGCGAUAAAUGCGUAAUCUCGAGAGGAACACCGAGGGCGAAAGGCACCUCUUGGUCCAUUCC
rnacentral:rRNA from 1 species